rnacentral:rRNA from 1 species
UUGGAGGGCAAGUCUGGUGCCAGCAGCCGCGGUAAUUCCAGCUCCAAUAGCGUAUAUUAAAGUUGUUGCAGUUAAAAAGCUCGUAGUUGAAUUUCGGGAUCAGUACGCUGGUCAUGCCUCCGGUAUGUACUGGUGUCACUGGUUCCUCCCUUCUGAAGAACCAUCAUGCUAUUAAUUUAGUGUGGUGGGAAAUCAGGACUGUUACUUUGAAAAAAUUAGAGUGUUUAAAGCAGGCUCACGCUUGAAUACAUUAGCAUGGAAUAAUGAAAUAGGACGUUGAUCCUAUUUUGUUGGUUUCUAGGAUUGACGUAAUGAUUAAUAGGGAUAGUUGGGGGCAUUAGUAUUCAAUUGUCAGAGGUGAAAUUCUUGGAUUUAUUGAAGACUAACUACUGCGAAAGCAUUUGCCAAGGAUGUUUUCAUUAAUCAAGAACGAAAGUUAGGGGAUCGAAGACGAUCAGAUUACCGUCGUAGUCUUUAACCAUAAACUAUGCCCGACUAGGGAUCGGAUGAUGUUAAAUUUUUUUAAUGACUCAUUUCGGCGCCUUACGGGAAAC